ACAACUACUUAUCACUCAGAGGAUAUCUACUACCAUAGAAAUUGGACUUGGAGAUUGAACAUUCAAAUUAUUUAUUUGUUGGAAUGUAUGUAUUGAACGUUUCUAAUUGGUGGUUUUAAUUCAUUUAUUAUACAAUAUUCAGGAUUGAUUCAAUAUCUAUACAUAAUGCAUAUAGGUAAAUAAGAUCCAGUUACUUCAGCAAUAUGGUUAUAGUUAAAUUGCAUAAUCAACAUAAAUAUUGGAAAUCUGUCCAUGUACUGGCAGCAAGCAUGAACUCAAUAACGACAAGACAAAUUGGUGCAGACAUUGAAAUUAAAUCUCAGAUUGGUAUUUUGAAGUAUUUAUAUUCUUAAUUUGCAUUAGUUGAAAGGUACGUAUAAGAAGUUAUAGUUUAAGUAGUU